CAGAGUUCAUGCCCUUACGGGUAGAUCUCCCACCCUUGAAAUAUCUACCUUUGUUGCUUUGGCAGGCCGCGGCCUCCGCUACCGGCUUCGGCUGGUGAGUGCCUGCCAGAGGACCUAAACUCUGUUUGUCUAUACUGUCUGAGUACUAUAUAAUAGUUA
rnacentral:misc_RNA from 1 species